CAUAGCAGAGAGUCUGCCUUCCAUGCUCAAGUCUUCAACAUGGUUGUCUGCAGAGAUGGGACUCUCAGUGAACUCACCAGCUGCUUCUUGCCUCUGCUGUUUCAGAUCCAGGUGACUGUUUGUGAAGUAAAAAAUGAGAUGUAGAAAACAGAAGGAGGAGAGAUUUGGGUGGGGGUUAGGUCAGUCAAUGAUCCUUGAAGCCAGAGGUGUCAAAUGAGGUCUAAUGCUUCAGGAGGAGAAAGGUGAAGAGGGAGUAAAUAUGGUAAACUUAAUUCAUCUCUGAGUAAUGUUAAGGAAAGUUGAAAGGAAGUCUGGGAGAAGGACAGCAGGAGUUUUGGUUGUGAGUCAUGGCAGCUUCCUCAGGAAUGUCUGAGUUAACUAAUGUAAAGUUGGAUGGGGCCUGUGUAAAAAAACUGAUAAGAGACAUUAGGAAGCAAGUUUUGCACUGCUCAAGUGAGUCCAGGAGGAGUGGCCUGUGGUAGGGGUAGUUAAAAUGACUUCCGAUGGGCCAUCCCAUUUUCCUUUUAAGGGGGCUCUGCAUUGAGGAGGGGAAAGGUAGACUAAGUCCCCUACUGAAAUAGGACUUCAUGAGUCUCUGAAGAUUGGAGCCGGGGAAGAUGAGUAUGGGCAUAUUUCCAGAGGGCAGCCCUAAGGUAAGCUAAGAAAGUUUUAAGAUAUCAAGAGGAACACUAGGUAAAUGAGGUUGAAUGAUGCGGGGAAGGAGGGGUCACUCAUACAUAAGUUCAAAAGGGCUGCUUAUGAGAGGUGUUUUUUGUUUGUUUGGUUGGUUGGUUGAUUUUUGGUGGAUUUUUGUUUUGUUUUGUUUUUUGCUUUUAGCAAUGCUCAGAUUUGGAGAAGGGCCAAAAGGCCAAAGCUCAGUCCAAUCCAAAUGAGUAUCUAUAGAUAAUUUGGUUAAGGUUGCCUUUGGUUCUAUUAGUCCUUUCAACUUUUCCUGGUUUCUAUGGAUGAUAUAUGGAAUGUGGAAGUUCCAUUUUAUAUUUAAAAUUUUAGCCAAUUCUUGGGUAAGAGAGGAAGUAAACUCAGGGCCAUUACUGGACUGGAGGCAGGCAGGUAAACCAAAGAGUGGAAUUAUUUCCUGGGAAAGUAGGGUUGCUAUUGUGAAAGCCCUCUUAUUGCUAGUUGGAAAAGUCUUGACCCAUCCAGUAAAUGUGUCUACCAAAGCCAGACUGAAGCACUUGCCUUGUGGAACUGAAUGCACUAUUGGAGAAUGUCCUGGGUCAAAGAGAUGCUCUUGAGUUAUUAAUCUCAGCUUUACAAAUCAAAGAUACAAAGGAAUCACACAACAUCUUACUACCAGGAAACCAUCUUGUCACUUACCAAAUCUAUUCUUCCAGAAUACCAUCCAAGACACACAAAAAAGACCAAACUGGUAUGAUAAAUACACAUAAAAUGAAAAGAUACAAUUGCUAUGUGAUACUACUCUCGGUAAUGUCUGUGAUGGGUGAAAGCACCUUUAGAAAAAGAUUAGUGUCUAAAGAUUCAAAAUGAAUCAACAGUAUUGGAUAACAAUUUAAUUCUCAACUCAGAAGCUAGCUCAAGAUUGGGGGCAUCUUUAGUUAAUGUAAUGUGACAGGAAAAGAAGGCCAUGGAUUUCAUUUUAUUAGUGGUAUUCACUCACAAUCGACCUAAGGUCACCAGAUAUGUAGACACAGUGAGAUUUUUGUUGUUGUUUAUAGUCUUUAAUUGAAGUGAUGAUAAAGGAAAUAGAUCUAUUUAACAACAAAACCAAAUUGCUAUUUCUGUCUACUUUAGGAGGUGGCCCCAGGUGUAGGAUUCACAUUUUGAGUGGCCACUUGUGGUGCAACAUUCUGAUGCCAAGCCUUGGCAUAACAGCUCCCAGAAACUGUUCAUCUUCUUGGAAGUGGUUCUCUUGCAAAGACUCCAGCAACUUCUGCAGGACAUCUUGGGGCACUUUGCAGCCUGUGCCCUUCAGUUCAGUAAACCUGGUUAACCGGAAGCUCUUAUCCAAUUCAUAACUUUCCGGGUUAAAGGACUUCCGUAUAGACAUGGUUCCUUACAGGUUAGCCCCUUCCCUCCCUCUCUCUUGUUUGGCUGGGAUUUUUACUUCUGAUCCACCUACCUCCAGGCCCGGCACGUGCAGAGGGGUGGACAUCGUGGCAUGUGCCCAGGAUCCAGGCGCUCUCCAUGAGGCCCAUGGCACAGGCAGCCCAUCCCCAAGGACUGCACUUGGAAUACCUUAAGUCUCAGGCUGCCAUCUUCAAAGGCACAACAGGCCCAUCCUGCUCUUUCUGUGGCACUAUGCUGCUGGAUGGUGGCAAAGGAGGAGAGGCACUGCCAGCUAAGCCCUGCCAACUCAGACCAUCCCAGGUGGAGCCGUGGGUGGUGGGAAGCCUGAGGGGUCCACAGGUGCUGGACUGGUACCUGCCGCCUACUGGACAGGCAGGGCGCCCAGGUCCAUCGGGCCUGUAGGGCUAGGUGCUGGUAGGUACUGUACCCAGACAGGGAGCUGGCUGUGCACAAAAAUGUUGGCAGACAAAAAAAAAUUAACCCCUGCGUGGCCACCCUCCCCCUCCACUCCUCCCCUGGUGCCUCAUUCUUGGUCUGUGGUUCCUGGCCUUGCUGGCCUUUUCUACUAUAAAAAUGCCCUUUACAGUGUAAGACUGUCUCCUUGUGGGGCAAAUUUUUAUGUAGCUAGUAUUAAAGGGGUUCUUGUCUGAGUUAGGGAGCCCCUCUCCCUCCAGAUUAAAAUGUUAGAAUAAAUAAUAUUGUAUACGUAUUUGGAAUCCAUAAAAUAUUGACUGAUUUUUCCCUAGCUAAUGAUAAAGCUUACAUGAGGGCUGUAAUGACACCCGCUUCCUUCACAGAAAAGUCUUACCUGGGCUUCUCUAGAAAUCUUCACCAUGGCUGAUUUUAGGACUGUCAGCAAAAGAGUCUCUACCAAAGAGUUCAAUGUAGAUAAACUUCCUAUUUUCAUGUUGCCCUGUUUUACUUGGCCACUGGCCAGGAAGAAAUCAGCACUCCAGGUGCUGGACACCCCCUUUACUAGUUUUUCACAAACAUGUAUCCAGUAUAGUAGUUUGUAGAAAUAUGCAAACAAAGCCUCUGACCUUGAGCUAUGCUUCACAAAGUGUGAUAAGGAAGACAGAUCCUUUUACAAAACCUCUGGCCUUGAGCCAGAGCUUCACAGAGAUGUCUACAUUUCUAAGAUAAGAGAAGUUAGCAACUGGGCUCCAUGGUAACAACUGUCAGGGGGAGGAAAGGAGGGGGAGAAGAAACUCUCCCCUUCUCAGGUGUUGUCCUUGAAGGGUUAACUUGCCCAAAACAGUGAAAGAAAAAAACUGCUUUUAUGGGAACUUCUGUGGACUGUGAACUUCUGAGACGCUCCCCUUUCAUGCUGGGUAUAAAAUUCUGGAACUACCUGAACUCAGGGUUCAGUGGGUUGAUUGAUUACAGCAAAAGCUGUGUCCUCUGAACCUGGCUGCAGCCAAUUAAAACUGUUUCCUGCUAUCUUCGGUGCCUUGCCUUGUCUGUCCCUGCAACAGGGCCACUAACUCAGCUUGCUGCGAGGUGGUCUCUGGGAAUAAGGGAGAUAAUUCUAAUAUCUGGGUAAGGAACAGAAGAAUCUGCUGUAAUUUUUCCUUGAAUUAUAGCAUAACCAGCAAGAUAAGGGGGAUGUUUCUGGGAGUUUCCAUGUAUGAACCAGUCAAGGGAGUAAGGUAAUUGCUGAUCCAUUAUGUGAGAAAAUGAACUCAUCAAAAAGUCCAGAAAGUCUGAACAAGAAUGAGAAAUUAUAGGAGCAGAGGGGUUUGUUGGGAGCAGAGUGCCUGGGUUUAGUGAGGAAUCUUGCUGGAAGGUAGUUAGGGGAUCCAGGAGUUGUGCGUGCAGUAAUUGGACUCCAGUUGGGGAAAGGGAUAAAAAUGAAUGAUGACUAAGGAGAUCUGAGAGGGAGUGUAUAGUAAGAACAGUAAUGGGUUAUAUAAUGUGAAUUUUCUUGGCUUGAGGAUCAUUAGAGCUGAUGUUGCUAAAAUCUUGAGGUGUUGGGGACAGCUUUGAUAAACUAAGUCGAAUUGUUUGGGUAGGAAUGCAAUAGGAUGGAGGUGGGGGUAUUGUCAUGGCACUCCCUCCUCUACAGAAAAUCUUUACUAAGCUUCUCCAGAAAUCUUCAUCAUAAUUGAUCUUAGGACUAUCAGCAGAAGAUCCUCUACAAAAUAGUUCAAUGUAGUUAAACUUCCUAUUUCCUAUUGCUCUAGCUUACUUGGUCACUGGCCUAGAUGUGAUCAGCACUCCAGUGCUGAACACCCCUUAACUAGUGUUUCACAAAGACUUACGGACUAUCUAGAAUGAGUAACAUAUAGAAUAGUUUGUAGAAGUGUGUUUGCAAAUGCAAAGUGUGAUAAGAUAGAUCCUUUAACUGGGCCUCUGGCCUUGAGCCAGAGCUUCACUGAGAUGUUUACAUUUCAAAUAUAAGAGAAGAUGUUAUUAAUUGGGCUCCAUGGUAACAGCUGACAGGGGGAGGAAAGAAUGUGGAGAAGAAGCUCUCCCCUUCUCAGGUGCUGUCCUUGAAGGGUGAACUUUCCCAGAACACAGUGAAAGAAAAACAGAGAUAGAUAAAUUGUGGUAUAAAGGUGUAUUAAGAAUUGUAAUGCAAAAAAAUAAUAAUAAUAAGAGAGCUCAUGUAUAAUGGCAUAAUUUGGUGUGAACAUACUUUAUAUACAGAGUUAUGAAAAACUGUGCUGUGGAUGGAUAAUUAUGAUUGCAAUGCAUUCCAUUAUUGUCAUGUAUGUAAGAAAUUUUAAAAAAAAAGAAAAGAAAAACCUGCUUUUGUGUAAACUUCUGGUGACUGUGAACUGUGAAGCCCUUUCUCUUACACACUGAGAAUAAGUUCUCAAACUGCCUGAACUCAGGGUUCAGGGGGAUUAAUUGAUUAUAGAAAAAGUUCUAUCCACUAAAUCUGGCUGCAGCCAAAUAAAACUGCUUCCUGCUGUCCUGGGUGUCCUGACUCAUCUGUCCCCUACAACAGUAUCUCCUGACUUCUGGUAAAUAAUUCCCAAAGCUUAUUUGUGUUCUGAGUUGAGGGCCAGGAAAAAGGGAUUAUUGGGGUUUGGUAUAUAAAUAAUUGAAAAUUUGGGCUGGGAGUAUUAGUUCAGUUGGUAGAGUGCUUGCCUUGCAUGCACAAGGCCCUGGGUUAAAGCCCAGUACAAAAAAACCAAAAAAACAAAAAACUGAAGAUUUUAGGAAGGAAUUAUGAAGGGCAGAAAUGGUAGAGGAAAAAGAAUGGGGAGAUGGAAGGGAAUCUGAAAGAUUUCCCUUGGAUGCCUCAUAAAGAGGUUUGGCUAUGAGGGAGAAUUUUGAUGUCCAGAUAUGAGAGUAGUUUAAAAGGCCUAAGAGGACAGCAUGUCUCUUUUGGUGGUUGGUAGGGGAAUGGCCUUUAAGGCUUGGAGUCUCUCUGGGGGAAUAUUAUAGGAGGUGUGGGUUAAAGGAUACCUCAAUAUUGUACCCAAGAGGAGCAGAGUUGGGCCUUAGACUGAGAAACCUGAUACCCCAGAGGGCCAGGGAGUUAAGAAGGGUGAUAGCGUAACAUGUGGGAUAUUCUAGUGAAGGCCUACAGAGCAGGAGGUCAUCUACAUACUGUAUAAGAUGGCUAGAGAAUAAAUUUAGGUAACCAGGUCGAGUUGGAGAGCUUGGCCAAAGUGGUGGGGGCUAUCUCAGAAGACAUGUGGGAGGAUGGUCCAGUUGAGCUGCUCCAAGUAGUUAGUGUCUGGGUCUAUCCAAGUAAAGGCAAAAAGUGGGCAUGAGUCUGGAUCAAGAGGAAUAGUAAAGAAGGCCUCUUCCAGUCUCAUACUGAGAAAUGUGUGGUGGAGGUUGAGAUAUGAGAUAAAAGGGUGUCAGUGUUGGACACUACAGGGUAUGUGGGAACAAUGGCCACAUGAGCCAUAGCUGGCCAUUGGAUUUCUUUACUCCAAGAAUGGGCGAGUUAUGAAGUGAGGUGUUUGGUAUAAGAAGUUUGCCCUGCAAUAACUGGGAGAUGAUGGGCUUUAAACCUCUGAGGGUUAAGGGAGUUAGAGGAUAUUGGGGAAGGAUUACAUAAUGGAUGGUGUCUCUUAACUGGAUAUGAAUCAGGGAAUGAUGUCUUGUUAUUGUAGGUUGUGAAGUAUCCCAGACUGUGGGGUUAAUCACAGAAAGUAAAGAACAAUCAAAAGGCUUAGGGGGGUUCCAGGACAUGGUCUGGUGUCAGGGCACAUGACUAAACUAAUCAAGGUCACUCCAAGUGAAUGUGGGGACUAAAUAAAGACACAGACACAGAAAGUACCUUUUCUUUGGGUUCAGUGACCGCUUCUCAGCCACAGCUCCCACAAGGGGGGCAAGGCAGGCAAGAAAAAGAAGGAGCAUGCCUUGAACUUGGGUUUUAUUGGAGAGAAGCCAUUCAAAUGAGGCAAGGGGCCAAGUUUCAGGGGGUUAGUCUAGCUAACUGAUGUCUGGCUGUCAGCAGAUUGACAUCUUGGAAGAUCAUGCCCAUCUCAUGUGCUGCUGUGUGAUAAUCAAAGGCAGAGCAAGCGAAAGGGACACAUAUGUGCACAGCCCAGACAGAGCACCAGCAUCAGUCCAGUUCACUUUGUGCACUCAAAAUGCUCACAGCUCACACACACAGCCUAUGCCUGUCUCGCCACAUCUCCCCCUUUCGUAACUUAUAAAUGCAAUUGGGGAAUUAUAUCUUCCAGUCAUUGGAUUCUUGGUCCGAGGCCGUUGUAGCCUACUAUUGAGACACAAAAAGGAUUAGUACAAAAAAAAUUCCAAUAACACAUCAUAUAGAAUGUUUCAACAUAUUUUUAGAAUUAAAGACACUUAAUUAACUUCAAAGGACCCAGGUAUUAUUAUUAUUACUCUGCCAAGCACUCGUCAGAAGAUUAUUAAUCUUUUCCCAAUUUUAUUGGGAAGCAUUGUAUUUGGUCAUAGUAACACAGACAUAUUUAUAGUCAGCAUGGCAUUCAAACCUUUCCUAAAACCAAAGAGCAGAGGGCUCAUUAUUCAUUAUAGUGGCUUCUCGAGUGUGCAAUGUAGUUCCAAUUUUUCCAUCAGCACUUAUUUGACUAUGAAGAAUCUUGGAAGUAAUUUAAGUCAAAUUAUUAAGAAAAUUUAUAUUUUGUAGCUUUUAAAACAUAGCCAUAAAGGCUGUAAUUGUAGAAACAAUGAAAUAUUUAAAGUAGUCACUUCAAGAAUCAUGAGAUCAAGAGUUUGCACAGGCUAUUGUGAAUAAAGUAGUUUUCCUAAUUUCUCUUUCAGUGGAUUCUUCACUGCUACACAGGAAUCCUUUUGAUUUAUGGGUGUUGAUUUUAUAUCCUGUUACUUUGCUGAAUUCAUUUAUUUGUUCUAGAAGUUUUCUGGUGGAAUUUUUUGAAUCUCCUAGAUAUAGAAUCAUGUCAUCAGCAAUUAGUGAUAUUUUAAGUUCUUCUUUAUCUAUUUGUAUCCAUUUAAUUUCUUUUUAUUUUCUUCUAUCUAAUUGCUCUGGCUAGAAUUUCAAGGAUGAUAAUGAAUAGAAGUGGUGAAAGAGGAAUCCUGUCUUAUUCCAGUUUUUAGCGGGAAUGUUUUCAAUGUUUCUUCAUUUAGAAUGAUGCUGACCUUAGGUUUAGCAUAUAUAGCUUUUACACUGCUGAGGUAUAUUCCUACUAUCCCUAGUUUUUCUAGUGUUUUGAACAUGAAGGUGUGCUUUGUUUUGUCAAAUGCUUUUUCUGCAUUUAUUGAGAUAAUCAUAUGAUUCUUGUUCUUAAGUCUAUUAAUAUCAUAUAUUAUGUUUAUUGAUUUCCAUAUGUUGAACCAACCCUGCAUCCCUGGGUUGAAUCCCACUUGAUCAUAUCUUUUUAAUAUGUUUUUGUAUACAAUUUGCAGAAUUUUAUUGAAAAUUUUUGCCUCUAGGUUCAACAGGGAUAUUGGUCUGAAGUUUUCUUUCCUUGAUGGGUCUUUUUCUGGUUUUGGUAUUAGGGUGAUAUUAGCCUUGUAGAAUGAGUUUGGAAGGAUUCCCUCCUUUUCUUUUUCAUGGAAUACUUUGAGGAGUUUUGGUGUUAAUUCUUCUUUGAAAGUGUUAUAGAACUCGGCUAAGAAUCCAUCUGGUUCUGGCUUUUCUUGGUUGGUAAGCUUUUGAUGGCAUUUUUUAUUUCAUUAUUUGAAAUUGAUCUAUUUAAAUCAUGUAUGGCCUCCUUAUUUAGUUUGGGUAGGUCAUAUGCUUCUAGAAAUUUUUCAAUGUUUUUGAUAUUUUCUAUUUUAUUAGAGUAUAAAUUUUCAAAAUAGUUUCUUUUAUUACCUUUAUUAUCUUUUAUUAUUAUCUUUAUUUUAUUAUUAAUUAUCUUCUGUAUUUCAGAUGUGUCCGUUGUGGUAUUUCCUUCUUCGUCCUGUAUUUUAGUAAUUUGAGUUUUAUCUCUUUUUCUCUUUGUUAGCAUGGCCAGGGGUUUAUCUAUUUUAUUUAUUUUUUCAAAGAAUCACCUUUUUGUUUCGUCAAUUUUUCUAAUCAUUUCUUUUGUUUCAAUUUCAUUGAUUUCAGUUCUGAUUUUAAUUAUUUCCUGUCUUCUACUGCUUUUGGUAUUGAUUUGUUCUUCUUUCUAUAGGGCUUUAAAAUGCCUGGGAAUCAAUCUAACAAAAGGAGUGAAAAUCAUCUACAAUGAAAACUACAGAACAUUAAAGAAAGAAAUUUAAGAAAACCUCAUAAGAUGGAAAGAUCUCCCAUGCUCCUGGAUAGGCGGAAUUAAUAUUGUCAAAAUGGCCAUACUACUAAAAGUGUUAUACAGAUUUAAUGCACUUCCUAUUAAAAUUCCAAUGACAUUCUUCAUCGAAUUAGAAAAAGCAAUCAUUACAUUUAUUUGGAAAACUAAGAGAUCCAGAAUAGCUAAAGCAAUCCUUAGCAAGAAGUGAAGCAGGAAGCUUCAUUGCCAGACCUUAAACUAUACUACAGAGCUAUACUAACAAAAACAGCAUAGUAUUGGCACCAAAAUAGACUUGUAGACCAAUGGUACAGAAUAGAGGACACAGAGACAUACCCAAGUAAAUAUGGUUAUGUCAUACUAGACAAAGGUGCCAAAAACAUUCACUGGAGAAAAGAUAGUCUAUUCAAUAAAUGGUACUGGCAAAACUGGAAAUCCAUAUGUAGCAAAAUGAAAUUAAACCUCUAUCCCUCACCCUGCACAAAAAUCAACUCAAAGUGGAUCAAAGACUUAGGUACUAAAACAGAGACCUUGCACAUAUCAGAAGAAAAAAUAGGCCCAAAUCGUCACCACAUCAGCCUAGGAUCUGACUUCCUUAACAAGACUCCUAAAGCACAAGAAGUAAAAUCAAGAAUUAUUAAAUGGGAUGGAUUCAAAUUAAAGAGCUUUUCCUCAGCAAAGGAAACAAUAAAGUGAGGGAAGCGCUUACAGAUUGGGAGAAAAUCUUUACCACAUCCACCUCCAAUAAAGCAUUAAUCUCUAGGAUAUAUAAACAACUCAAAAUUUUUAGCACCAAAAAAAUAAUAAUAAUAACCCAAUCAAUAAAUGGGCUAAGGAACUGAAUGGUCACUUUACAGAAGAAGAAAUACAAAUGAACAAUAAAUGUAUGGAAAAGUGUUCAGCAUCUCUAGUACUUAGAGAAAUGCAAAUCAAAACUACUCUAAGAUUUCAUCUCACUCCUAUUAGAAUGGCAAACAUCAAGAAUACAGGCAACAAUAAAUGUUGCCGAGGAUGUGGGGGAAAAAGGUACACUUAUACAUUACUGGUGGGACUGCAAAUUAGUGCAACCACUAUGGAAAGUGGAGAUUCCUCAAAAAAUUGUGACUGGAACCACCAUUUAACCCAGCUAUCCCAUUCCUUGGUUUAUACCCAAAGGACUUAAAAUUAGCAUACUAUAGUGACUCAGCCACAUCAAUGCUUACAGCAGCUCAAUUCACAAUAGCUAGACUAUGGAACCAACCUAGGUGUCCCUGAAUAGAUGAAUGAAUAAAGAAAAUAUGGCAUAUAUACUCAACAUAUACUCAGCUUUAAAGAAGAGUAAAAAUACAGAAUUUGCCAGUAAAUGGUUGGAGUUGGAGAAUAUCAUGCUAAGCGAAAUAAGCCAAUCCCAAAAAACCAAAGGCAGAAUGUUUUCUCUAAUAUGCGGAUGCUAAUUCACAAUAAGGCAGGGGUCACUAGGGAAGAAUAUUGUUACCUUAGAUUAGGCAGAGGGAAGUGAUGAGAGGGGAGGGGUGGGGAUGUAAGGAUAGGAAAGAUAUUAGAAUGAAACAGACCACAUUACUGUUUGUAUAUAUGUGACUGCAUGCCCAAUAUGGUUCUGCAACAUGUACACUCAGAAAAAUGAUGUUAUAUCCUAUCCAUGUAUAUCAAAGUGCAUAAAUGCAUUCUAUUGUCAUGUAAAACUAAUUA
rnacentral:lncRNA from 1 species